rnacentral:misc_RNA from 1 species
GAAUAAAAGUCGUAACAAGGGCUCCGUAGGUGAACCUGCGGAGGGAUCAUUACAGAGUUCAUGCCCUACCGGGUAGAUCUCCCACCCUAUGUUAUUAUUACUUUGUUGCUUUGGCGGGCCGUUAGGCUCCGGCCCGACUACCGGCCCCGGCUGGUAAGCGCCCGCCAGAGGACCCAAAACCCUGAAUAUUAGUGUCGUCUGAGUACUAUAUAAUAGUUAAAACUUUCAACAACGGAUCUCUUGGUUCUG